GACGGAGGGGGCAAGCGUUGUCCGGACUCACUGGGCGUAAAGGGUGCGUAGGCGGUUGUCUGCGUCCGCGCUGAAAUCUCACAGCUUAACUGUGGGGCGCGUGCGGAUACGAGAUAACUAGAGGCAUGGAGAGGACAGGGGAAUUCCUGGUGUAGUGGUGAAAUGCGUAGAUAUCAGGAGGAACACCUGUGGCGUAAGCGCCUGUCUGGCCAUGACCUGACGCUGUGGCACGAAAGCGUGGGGAGCAAACAGG
rnacentral:rRNA from 1 species